rnacentral:rRNA from 1 species
AUGGCCGCCUCCGCGGCGCCGCUCCGGGCCGCGCUCGCCCGCAGCCACGCCGCCGCCUCCGCGCGCGCCCCGACCGCCUUCCUCCCGCUCCCUCCUCGUGCUCGCCGCCUCAAUCCGGCCGUCCUCGCCUCCGGGAGGGGGAGGCGGAUCCGCGCGGAGGCGACGGCGAGGACGCGGCAGGAGAAGGAGCAGCAGGAAGCCGAGGUGUCCGCCGUCGAGGACUCCUUCGCCGUCAGGGAGGCGGCCGCCGCUCCUCCUCCGGAGGAGGAAGGGGGAUUCGACGAAGAACUGACCCUCGCAGGCGAGGACGGCGACUGGGUCGUCAGGUUCGAGCAGUCCUUCAACGUAUUCCUCACGGAUACUGUCAUCUUUAUACUCGAUAUUCUGUACCGCGACCGCGACUACGCCAGGUUCUUCGUGCUCGAGACCAUCGCCAGGGUGCCCUAUUUUGCGUUUAUAUCGGUGCUUCACUUGUACGAGACCUUUGGCUGGUCGAGAAGAGCUGACAAUAUCAAAGUGCACUUUGCUGAAAGCAUGAAUGAGUUCCAUCACCUCUUAAUCAUGGAAGCAUUGGGUGGCAACUCUGUAUGGAUUGAUCGCUUUCUUGCGCGGUUUAGUGCCUUCUUUUACUACUUUGUCACUGUUGCCAUGUACAUGCUGAGCCCAAGAAUGGCAUACCACUUUUCUGAAUGUGUUGAGAGGCAUGCAUACUCAACUUAUGACAAGUUCCUAAAGCUCAAUGGAGAGGAGUUGAAAAAACUACCAGCUCCAGAGGUGGCUGUAAACUAUUACAUGAAUGAGGAUCUCUACAUGUUUGAUGAGUUUCAAACAUCAAGAGCUCCAAAUUCUAGGAGGCCUAAAGUUGAUAACUUGUAUGAUGUAUUCGUGAAUGUACGGGACGAUGAGGCGGAGCAUUGCAAGACAAUGAAGGCCUGUCAAACACAUGAAACCCUCCGUUCUCCUCAUGCCGUGCAGAGCUCAGUAGAAGCUGAUGCAGAAUGA